AUAAACGAAGGAACUGCGCUUGGUAGAGUUUUCUACUGUGAAUGCAGCAAACUUUCUUAACCUUAAAUCUUUGCUUUAAGGAAAGUCUUCUUUUAAGUCAUUUUAUCAAAUACCUUGACAGUAUAAUUAUAACAGACUGUUAUUCUCUUUUCCUUCAAAACAAAAUCUACACAAUUAGAAAAGGAUAUUUGUUCUCACAUUGAACUGAGCCUUUCCACUAUCAAAAUCAAAAUCUAUAUAAAGAUCAAGCCACUUAAAUCAACCGGUGAGACAUUUGUAAGAAAUUGAAAUUAAUUUUGCCUGAGACAUUUUGAUAUAAUCUCUGAUAAAUAAAAG
rnacentral:misc_RNA from 1 species